GCCCGGAUGGCGGAAUUGGUAGACGCGCUAGGUUCAGGGUCUAGUGCCGGCAACGGCGUACAGGUUCGAGUCCUGCUCCGGGCACCA
rnacentral:tRNA from 1 species